GCCGGGGUAGCUCAGCAGGUAGAGUGCCCGGCUGUUAACCGGGCGGUCAGAGGUUCGAGUCCUCUCCCCGGCGCCA
rnacentral:tRNA from 1 species